CGCCGGGAACCAGGAAGCGCCCGGAGGCGGGCACUGGGCGGUUGGGAUGGCGGGGCCCGCCUGGGGCCCCCCGCGGCUGGACGGCUUCAUCCUCACCGAGCGCCUGGGCAGUGGCACGUACGCCACGGUGUACAAGGCCUAUGCCAAGAAGGACACUCGCGAGGUGGUAGCCAUAAAGUGUGUGGCCAAGAAGAGUCUGAACAAGGCAUCCGUGGAAAACCUCUUGACAGAGAUUGAAAUCCUCAAGGGUAUUCGACACCCCCACAUUGUACAGCUGAAAGACUUCCAGUGGGACAGCGACAACAUCUACCUCAUCAUGGAGUUCUGCGCGGGAGGUGAUCUGUCUCGCUUCAUCCACACCCGCAGGAUUCUGCCCGAGAAGGUGGCUCGUGUCUUCAUGCAGCAGUUGGCUAGUGCCCUGCAGUUCCUACAUGAACGGAACAUUUCUCACCUGGAUCUGAAGCCACAGAACAUUCUGCUGAGCUCCUUGGAGAAGCCCCACCUUAAACUGGCAGACUUCGGCUUUGCACAGCACAUGUCCCCCUGGGAUGAGAAGCAUGUGCUCCGUGGCUCGCCCCUCUACAUGGCCCCCGAGAUGGUGUGUCAGCGGCAGUAUGAUGCCCGUGUGGAUCUCUGGUCUGUGGGGGUCAUCCUAUACGAAGCCCUCUUCGGGCAGCCCCCCUUUGCCUCCAGGUCGUUCUCGGAGCUGGAAGAGAAGAUCCGGAGCAACCGGGUUAUUGAGCUCCCCCUGCGGCCCCUGCUCUCCCAGGACUGCCGGGACCUGCUGCAGCGGCUCUUGGAGCGGGACCCCAGCCGUCGCAUCUCCUUCCAGGAUUUCUUUGCCCACCCCUGGGUGGACCUGGAGCACAUGCCCAGUGCGGAGAGCCUGGCACGAGCAACCGCCCUGGUGGUGCAGGCAGUGAAGAAGGACCAGGAAGGGGAUGCCGUGGCCGCCUUAUCUCUCUACUGCAAGGCUCUGGACUUCUUCGUGCCUGCCCUGCACUAUGAAGUGGAUGCCCAGCGGAAGGAUGCAAUUAAGGAAAAGGUGGGGCAGUACGUGUCCAGGGCUGAGGAGCUCAAGGCCAUCGUCUCUUCCUCCAAUCGGGCCCUGCUGAGGCAGGGGACCUCUGCCCGAGACCUGCUCAGAGAGAUGGCCCGGGACAAGCCGCGCCUCCUAGCUGCUUUGGAAUUGGCUUCGGCUGCCAUGGCCAAGGAGGAAGAGGCUGGUGGGGAGCAGGAUGCGCUGGCCCUGUACCAGCACAGCCUUGGGGAGCUGCUGCUGCUGCUGGCAGCGGAGCCCCCAGGCCGGAGGAGGGAGCUGCUUCACACUGAGGUGCCCACUGGGGUUGGGAGGGUUAGAGAGCUUCCUCUUACCCAUUUGCCCUGCUCCCAUUUGGGGGGGCCUCUUGGGUUCCCGCAGAGUUAUCCAGGUCUAGGAAUCAGACUUCAUAGAUGUGGUUCAGAAUCUCAUGGCUCGAGCUGAAUACCUGAAGGAGCAGGUCAAGAUGAAGGAGUCUCACUGGGAAGCUGAGACCCUGGACAAAGAAGGGCUGUCAGAGUCUGUUCGGAGCUCUUGUACCCUGCAGUGACUUCAAAGGAUGAUUGGACAGGUGGCUGGGAGUUGGCCCCAGCUGACGCCCAGAAUUCUUUUAGCCCUCUGCAGCCCUGCAGAGCAGGCUUCCUGGGGCAACUGUGAGAACGCCCACAUCUCAGGAUCCCCAGCACUCCUCGGGAGACUCUCCACCCUCCAGAGGAUCUGAUGUCCCACAGUGUGUGCUGGGAGAGGGGAGCGGGACUCUGAGAAAAGAGUGUUUCCUUCAGGUGACUUUUAUUAUUUGGCGGUUGCUGGGCUGUGAGCCUGUUGAUUUCAGGGCAUCAGGCAUCUUCUUUUGGCUCUCAGAGGAGGGCGAGGGGCCUCUGCAGGGCCGUUGUGCUCUUUCCUCUCCCUGCCAGCAGGCAGCUGUGCUCUGUGCCCACCCCAUCCUUACUGGGAGCCUUUGUUGCAAGUCACCUCUCUCCUUGCACUGGAACGGGGCAUUUCAAGACCCCUCAGGGACCACUCACCCCACUGUAUGCACUCAGGCCUGCAGAACUCACCAGUCUUCCUGGGAGCUGACUCCUGCCCGCUCUCUGGGUGGUUUAAGAUAAUCGUUCGUGCAUGAAAAUAUAUCCUUUGUAGAGGUGGGGCAAAUUUGAGAAACCCAUGCCUUUUUAUUGCCCUGGCAGGGCACAAGGGGAGGGGUCCUCAAUCCUCCUCUUUCCUACCUCCAUCUCUCUUUGGGGAACACCCCUACUUGCCACAGAGCUGGUCCAGGCCUGG